UCUCUUUUUCAUUUUUCUCUCUCUCUCUCAUAAGCUCCACAAAUCCUCAUGCUUCAACACCAAAAUCGAAGGUCAAGGCUUGUGAAUCUCGCAAAAAGGCAAGUAGAAACCGUGAUCUACGGACAAAGGGCUACGCAUCUAUCUGAACAAAAUCUCAAUCGGUCAAAUUUGAAAUUUCAUGGCAAUUUGGGGAUUUCUCUCUUUGAGGAAACUCAGGUCAAUUGUGACGCCGUUGGUGAAAAUUCGUAAACUCACUUGGGUCAAUUGUGACGCCAUCGGUGAGAGUCUGUAAAUUUACUUGGGUCAAUUGUGACACUGUCGGUGAAAGUCCGUAAACCCGCGCGGGGUAGGUUGCUUCAUCCUUCGAGUUAGUAGCCCGUAAAGUGCAUGUGCUAGAGACGUCUAGUACGGUGGUUGGUUGGUCGUAUCGGUAAGCAACUCAUAUAAUUCUAUGUUUCGGUGUUAGUGAAUGGAUAUUUGAGUUGGUUGGCUAUUAUAUUUUGGAUUUUGUUAUUUUCCGUGUUGAGUUUUAUGAGUUAUUUGCUCUAUUCGGGAUUAUAUUUGAUUUGGUGGCCUAACAACAUUCUUUAGAUUAUUAAGAAAAAAAAUGGAAACACUUGACAUUUUGCAUGGAUUAUUUUCGCUUAUUUGUACUUGACAUUGAAUUGGGAGAUUUAAUAACUUCAUUUAGAACAUCGGACGAAAGAAAGCAUAGAAAACUUUUCAGUACUUGUAUAUAAAAAGAGUAUAUUUUGUAUAUCAAGCUUUGCAUGUUCAUAUAUUUUCAUUUAGCGUAUUUCCUGCUCGAGCUGUGGCUCAUGUUGUUGCAACCCAAAUAUUUCAAGUUUAGAGAUGAAUCCGAAGGCUUAAGAAUCAUGGAUAUGUUCUAGUUCUUUUUUUUUUAGAACUUAAUCGGAUACUUGUACAUAUUUGUUUGUAAGGAGGCAUAAGACAUGUAAACUUUAAUUUUAUUUUGGGAAUGUAAAAUUGUAGAUUGAGAGAACGGGGCCUGGAUGUGUAUAAAAAAAUAGUAUAUUUUGGAGUUUAUUUAUAAUAAAAGGAGGGUCGUGACA